GCUUUGAUCACAACUAGAUUGACUUCUUCAGUCACAUAAUUUGGGGAGAUUUGUCAAGGUCUCACAUGAAGGAAGAUGUUCACCCUGAGGACAAGGCCCCUGCAUGCAUUCUCAGGACGUUCAUGUUUUCUUUACCCAUUCCCUUCCAUUCAAAUAUAGGUUUGGCUAGUUAUGCUGCAACAAGAAACAACUCUUCGGGGCUUGCCACAGCAACAUUUUGUUUUUCACUCAAUGUGAACUUAUAGCGGAGGGGAUGCUCUGCUAAUCAAGACCACCCAGGCACCCAGCUGGCGGAAACACCAUCUCAAAGCAGCUCACAGGGUCACAGAGCUGAGCGAAGGUGACAUCACCAAUCACAAACUCAUUCUUUAUGUUUUUGCCCUGGAAUGACAUAUCAUUUUUGUUCUCAUUUCAUGACCAAGAUAAGUCACAUAGGCCAUGCCAUGUGGGGACAAGGAAAAGCAAUCUUAACAUAUGCUUUGAGAAGGAAAAAUGGAGUAUUUGUGAGUGUUCUAAUUACCACUACAGAUUUAAAAAGAGAAAAAUCAUUAGUAACAAUGAGUUAGGAUAUACAUCACUGUUCUACUUGUUAAUUGCACCUCCUGCUAGCCAAUAAAAGCUUAGUUGUGCCAUCUCUUAAGCUGAGGAGGUUCUUCCUGGACCAUAUAUUCUCCAUGUUUACUACACGGAAAGGGGGCUUUUUGGAUAUUUUGCUGAUGUUUACAUAUUGUUAAAUUCUAGUUUAGCAAAAUUUAACAUUGUACAUAUAUACCUAUAUAUUGUAGCAUAUUGUAUAGAUAAGCACAGGGCCACUCUAUAAUAGGUUCAAAACCAAAAGAUAAAAAUAGUUCUCCCAUAACACAAUGAAUAACCAGACUGAAAAUUCCACUUAAAUGGUUACCUAAUAUUAGUCUGUAUAGCAUCGUCUUCUUUCUAGAAAUACCUACAUAUGUAUAUUUAUAAUGCUUAGGAAAAACCUGGAAGUAAAUUCAUUAAAAUGCUAAUUAUAUCUGGUUAUAAUAGUAAAUAGUAUAUUAAUUUUUAUUUUACUUUUCUUUUAUCCGCAUUUUCUAAAUUUUCAAUGAUGAAUGUCCUAAAUAAUAAAAUUAUUAUCUCAUUGCAUUUGUGGUCAGGUGAAAUAACUGAAAGCAACUGUGAUAGGCAGGAUUCUGAGAUAGCCCCAAGAUCCCAAGAUUCCUCCCCACAGUGUACCUUGUAUAUAAGGAACACACCUUGUAUAAUCCUCUCCUAUUGAGUGUGGGCGGCACUGUGAAUACCGUGGGAUAUUGCUCCUGUCACUAUGUUAUGUUAUAUGACAAAAGGGAUUUUGUGGAUGUAAUUCAGGUCCAAAAUAAGUUGAGUUUGAGUUAAUCAAAAGAGAUAUUGCCUUGGGUGGGCCUGAGCUAAUACAGAGACAAGCAGCAGCAGAGGCCAUCCUCUACUGACCGUGAGGAAGUAAGCUGCCCAGUUGGUAGAGGAGGGGACCAUGGUUCAGCAUGAGAAGGUGGCAUCUGGGAGGCCUGACUGACAGCCAGCAAGAAAACUGGAACCUCAGGAAUAUAGCUGCAAGGAAAUGAAUUCUACCAACAACUGGCGAGCUUGGAAGAGGGCUCUUCCUCUCAGGUGAGCUAGCAGCCCUAACCUGCUACUUGAUUUUAGCCUGGCAAAGUCUUGAGCAGAGACCCCAGCUAACCCAUGCCUGGACUGCUAACCCGACAGGAUCAAUAGAUAAUGAAUUUGUGUUGUGUUAAGUCACUAAGUUUGUGGCCAGUUUGUUACACAGUAAAAACAAAACAAAACAAAACAAAAUACACAGCAAUGUCAACAACUGUCAGAAGAUUGUUCUGCAUAAAGUCAAGAAAAAGUGAGGAUAAACACAUAUUUAAAAAAAAUUUUUUUUCAAAUGGAAAUCAAAAUUGCAGUUACCUUUGUGGGAAGUUUGUUAUUGGGAAGGGGCAGGCGGGAGCCUGCUGGAAAUGUUCUACAUCUUGAUCCAGGUAGUGAUUGGUGCAGAUAUUAAAAUUCAUCGAGAUGUAUACUUAAUGACCUGUGUGCCUGUACUUACAUCCCAAUAAAAAAUAACGAACUAAAGCCAGUGAGCUUGACAUCAAUCAUUACGAACAUUCUCUUAGGUAAGUCUAUGUGUCUUGAGCAUGAUAGGCACUCAAGAAAUACUUUUCUUUAUUAUAGUAAAAUACACAUAACAUACACUUUGCUAUUUUAAUCAUUUUAAGUGUACAAUUCAGUGACAUUAAGUACACUGGCAUUGUUGUGCAACCAGCACCACUAUUUAUCUCCAGAGCUUUUUCGCCAUUCCAAACUGAAAGAAAUAUACUUUAUUGUUGAGACACCUGGCUCUGUUAUUUUUUUUUUUCUAUGCAAACAAGUCAAGGAACAAUACCAGAUGAUUAUCCAGGCACUUCUCAUAUUAUGCUUGUUUUUGUGUGAAGUUAACAUGAGCACUGCUAUGCUUCUAGGUUUUUGUUAAGUAAAAAUUCUUGGAAGAUGGCCAUUUAUUUUACCCAAUUUUAUCAGCUUAGUUUUUUAUAAUCCCUUGCCAGCCCCCUCAUCCAUCACUUCCUCGCUCAAACCAUAUUCUCCAUUAUAACAAAUUACUUGUGAUUCUCAGAACACACUAAGACCAUUUGGCCCUUGCCCGUGUACUGCACCCACCCCACCCCCCGAAAUGCUGUCACACCCUUCCAUGCUUGGCAAACUCAAUUCAGGAAAUUGCAUUGAGCACUUGCUCUGCGCUGGGUGCUGGGUACCCACUGAUGAACCUGCCUCAGUCUUGUAGGGAGGUGGGCACUUGUCCUUUAAGUCGUUGUGCAGAUACCAGCUCCCUGUGACACCUUCUCUGACUGCCUUCCUUCUAUGCCCCA
rnacentral:lncRNA from 10 species